GGGCCCGCACAAGCGGUGGAGCAUGUGGUUUAAUUCGACGCAACGCGAAGAACCUUACCUGGGCUCGAACGGCUGCUGAACGGUGGUAGAAACAUCAUCCUUCCCGCAAGGGACAGUAGUCGAGGUGCUGCAUGGCUGUCGUCAGCUCGUGUCGUGAGAUGUUGGGUUAAGUCCCGCAACGAGCGCAACCCUUGUCCUGUGUUGCUAAUCGAAAGAUGCACUCUCAGGAGACCGCCAGCGAUAAGCUGGAGGAAGGUGGGGAUGACGUCAAGUCAUCAUGGCCUUUAUGUCCAGGGCUACACACGUGCUACAAUGGACGGUACAAUGCGCUGCAAACUCGCGAGAGGGAGCCAAUCGCAAAAAACCGUUCUCAGUUCGGAUUGCAGGCUGCAACUCGCCUGCAUGAAGCUGGAAUCGCUAGUAAUGGCAUAUCAGAACGAUGCCGUGAAUACGUUCCCGGGCCUUGUACACACCGCCCGUCACAUCACGAAAGUGGAUUGUACUAGAAGCCUGUCCGCUAACCCGCAAGGGAGGCAGCGGUCCAAGGUAUGAUUCAUGAUUGGGGUG
rnacentral:rRNA from 1 species